rnacentral:rRNA from 1 species
CCUACGGGAGGCAGCAGUGGGGAAUAUUGGACAAUGGGGGCAACCCUGAUCCAGCCAUGCCGCGUGUGUGAAGAAGGCCCUCGGGUUGUAAAGCACUUUCAGUGAGGAAGAACGCCUGGUGGUUAAUACCCAUCAGGAAAGACAUCACUCACAGAAGAAGCACCGGCUAACUCCGUGCCAGCAGCCGCGGUAAUACGGAGGGCGCGAGCGUUAAUCGGAAUUACUGGGCGUAAAGCGCGCGUAGGUGGCUUGAUAAGCCGGUUGUGAAAGCCCCGGGCUCAACCUGGGAACGGCAUCCGGAACUGUCAAGCUAGAGUGCAGGAGAGGAAGGUAGAAUUCCCGGUGUAGCGGUGAAAUGCGUAGAGAUCGGGAGGAAUACCAGUGGCGAAGGCGGCCUUCUGGACUGACACUGACACUGAGGUGCGAAAGCGUGGGUAGCAAACAGGAUUAGAUACCCGGGUAGUC